UACGUAGGGUGCAAGCGUUGUCCGGAAUUAUUGGGCGUAAAGAGCUCGUAGGCGGUCUGUCGCGUCGGAUGUGAAAACCCAGGGCUCAACCCUGGGCCUGCAUUCGAUACGGGCAGACUAGAGUUCGGUAGGGGAGACUGGAAUUCCUGGUGUAGCGGUGAAAUGCGCAGAUAUCAGGAGGAACACCGGUGGCGAAGGCGGCGCUCUGGACCGAGACUGACGCCGAGGCGCGAAAGCGUGGGGAGCAAACAGG
rnacentral:rRNA from 1 species